GACGAACGCUGGCGGCGUGCCUAAUACAUGCAAGUCGAACGCAGUGGGGACGGGUGAGUAACACGUGGGUAACCUCCCAUCAGAGGGGAUAACCCUUGGAAACAGGUGCUAAACCGCUACUGAUGGAUGGACCCGCGGUGCAUUAGCUAGUUGGUGAGGUAACGGCUCACCAAGGCCACGAUGCAUAGCCAACCGUAGAGGUUAAGCGGCAAAACUGGAACUGAGCCACUGGCCAGACGCCUACUGGAGGCAGCAGUAGGCAAUGUUCGACAAUGGACGUAAGACUGAUCGAGCAAAGCCGCGUGAGAAAAGAAGGUUUUCGGAUUGUAAAAAGCUUUAGUCGGGGAAACGAUAUCUAACCAGAAAGCCACGGCUAACUCCGUGCCAGCAGCCGCGGUAAUAC
rnacentral:rRNA from 1 species